UACGAAGGGUGCAAGCGUUGUUCGGAAUUAUUGGGCGUAAAGGGUUCGUAGGCGGGAUUAAAAGUCAAGUGUGAAAUCCCCGAGCUUAACUCGGGACGUGCAUUUGAAACUCUAAUUCUUGAGUCAUAGAGGGGGUAAUGGAAUUGUUGGUGUAGGAGUGACAUCCGUAGAGAUCAACAGGAACAUCAGAGGCGAAAGCGGUUACCUGGCUAUGUACUGACGCUGAGGAACGAAAGUGUGGGGAGCAAACAGG
rnacentral:rRNA from 1 species